GACGAACGCUGGCGGCGUGCUUAACACAUGCCAGUCGAACGGAAAGGCCCUGCUUUUGUGGGGUGCUCGAGUGGCGAACGGGUGAGUAACACGUGAGUAACCUGCCCUUGACUUUGGGAUAACUUCAGGAAACUGGGGCUAAUACCGGAUAGGAGCUCCUGCUGCAUGGUGGGGGUUGGAAAGUUUCGGCGGUUGGGGAUGGACUCGCGGCUUAUCAGCUUGUUGGUGGGGUAGUGGCUUACCAAGGCUUUGACGGGUAGCCGGCCGGAGAGGGUGACCGGCCACCUUGGGACGGAGAUACGGCCCAGACUCCUACGGGAGGCAGGAGUGGGGAAUAUUGCACAAUGGGCGGAAGCCUGAUGCAUCAACGCCGCGUGCGGGAUGACGGCCUUCGGGUUGUAAACCGCUUUCGCCUGUGACGAAGCGUGAGUGACGGUAAUGGGUAAAGAAGCACCGGCGAACUACGU
rnacentral:rRNA from 1 species